GACUAACACGCAGCCAGAUAAACGCUCACGCUGACAAACACGAUAAGGCUUUGCCCACAAACCGCGGACUGAGUGAUGGACGUCUCCAUGGAGACCGGUCUCCAUGACUGACACCUGCGCUGCGGAGCGGGAAGAACCAGAAAGCGUCUCUCCAAUGUGGAGGGUGUGCAGGCCAGCCUCCCCCUGACGGAUGAAGCAGCUCUCAGGAACGGCGUGGGACGCGGACCGGCCGUCCGGCCUCGGUUGCAGCACUGCAGUCGACCGCCCGGUGUGGAGCGGGGGUCGCAACCUUUGACAGGAGAGCCGCUUGGGCUCGUUUUGAUCAAAACCUGGACGGAGCCGCAGAGUUUUACUUCAGCCUGUAAGAAAUUUAGAUUUGGAUUUAUGACCCUUUUUUUAAAAUAAAUUUGAAUAAUGUC